CGUUUGGGAAGCUUCCUUUCUUCCACUGAACAACCUCCUUCAUUCACUCCUCCUAGGUCAUGCAGUGACCCCGGGUCGGACGGGGACAGGUGAAUCCAAAGAGGGGAGGACGAUAGAGGGCCGGACGAUAGAAUGAGAACCGCACUUAGGCAAUGAAUGAGCCGUGCUGCAUCCGCACCACCUGUUCCUUCCAGGGGUGCCACCUUCCAAGAGCUUGCCGGGAAACCUGGAGGCUGACCUGCCUGCGGAGACAGGAGAGUCGGAACAGGCUCCGCCCAUCCUUUCAGUGCAGAGCUCGGGGGGCCCGGGGAGCCACAGAAGAGUAGUCAGUACGGUUGUGAUCGCCUCCUCAUCAAAAAUAGCCUUUAUGCUCCUUCCUGCGACAUCUGCCUUUCGUUCUUUGGGUAGACUCUCCCAGACUGUGCGAUCAUAGUUUGGGCCUGAAGUGGUAAAAUGCAGGUGUAGGAAGCACUGUAGGUGAUCGUGGACGAAGUGCCUAAUUAAGAAGCAGAGGCGGAGGGGAAAAUAGGAAUGGCUUCACCACAGUGGGGAUUUGUGAACAUAUCUGGAGAGGAAGUCUGAAAAGCGUGAAAGAACUUGGCCUAUUAAAUGGGACUGCUGGCUGGAGUUUCGGUGAUUUGGUGAACGUUUGCUUAAAAUGAGCCUGAAAAGAUAGCCAGAUCCGAAGUGACACAUUUGCACGGACAGAGGAGCCUCUGAAGGUGGAAGUGUGUGUUUUUAUUUCAUUGUUCAGGCCAUACAAUACAGGGUUGACGACCAGACCUUAUGAGUCGCUUUGCGGUAGGAGAGUUCAGGGCCACUGACUUCUCCAGAGCUGGCUUCAAGUUUAAUAUUGUGACUUCUUGAACUCCCCAUCACCGGAAAUCCUCAAAUCUUAGAAGCUGAAGAAUAUCUGGCUAGGAUACUAGAGAGAACUGCUCCAGUGGGCAACAUCAGACUAGGUACUGAACAGGACCCCCUUCACAAAUACAUCUCGUUGACAGCUGGCAGUAAAACUUUUUGAAAAUGGCAUUUCAUCGAUGAUCUAAAAUUUUUUCAAGUCAUAGGAGACAUUUUUACCCUUGGUUUUUUAUUAUCUCUUUCCAGAUCCUGAAUUCGAUCUGUAGCAUUCUUUGCAUCAUGAAUAAUUAAACAAUGUGUGCAGUAGUUUUCCUUUUAAAUUUAUUAACAUAUAUUUUCAUAUA